rnacentral:rRNA from 1 species
UGAGGAAUAUUGCACAAUGGGCGAAAGCCUGAUGCAGCAACGCCGCGUGAGGGACGAAGGCCUUCGGGUCGUAAACCUCUUUUCUGGGGAAAGAGACAGGACGGUACCUCAGGAGUAAGUCUCGGCUAACUACGUGCCAGCAGCCGCGGUAAAACGUAGGAGGCGAGCGUUAUCCGGAUUUACUGGGCGUAAAGCGCACGCAGGCGGUUCCGUUAGUCGGACGUGAAAGCACCUGGCUUAACUGGGAGAGGCCGUUCGAUACUGCGGGACCUGAGGUUGGAAGAGGGGUGUGGAAUUCCCGGUGUAGUGGUGGAAUGCGUAGAUAUCGGGAGGAACACCUGUGGCGAAAGCGGCACCCUGGUCCACACCUGACGUUGAGGUGCGAAAGCGUGGGUAGCAAACAG